rnacentral:rRNA from 1 species
UACAGAGGUCUCAAGCGUUGUUCGGAUUCAUUGGGCGUAAAGGGCUCGUAGGCGGCCAACUAAGUCGGACGUGAAAUCCCUCGGCUUAACCGGGGAACUGCGUCCGAUACUGGAUGGCUUGAGUUUGGGAGAGGGAUGCGGAAUUCCAGGUGUGAGCGGUGAAAUGCGUAGAUAUCUGGAGGAACACCGGUGGCGAAGGCGGCAUCCUGGACCAACACUGACGCUGAGGAGCGAAAGCCAGGGGAGCAAACGGG